UACGAAGGGGGCUAGCGUUGUUCGGAAUUACUGGGCGUAAAGCGCACGUAGGCGGAUAUUUAAGUCAGGGGUGAAAUCCCAGAGCUCAACUCUGGAACUGCCUUUGAUACUGGGUAUCUUGAGUAUGGAAGAGGUAAGUGGAAUUGCGAGUGUAGAGGUGAAAUUCGUAGAUAUCGCAGGAACACCAGUGGCGAAGGCGGCUUACUGGUCCAUACUGACGCUGAGGUGCGAAAGCGUGGGGAGCAAACAGGGAUUAGAAA
rnacentral:rRNA from 1 species